ACGAACGCUGGCGGCGUGCUUAACACAUGCAAGUCGAACGGAGGUCGCAAGACCUCAGUGGCGCACGGGUGCGUAACACGUGAGAAAUUUGUCCAUCGGCGGGGGAUAGCCGGCCCAACGGCCGGGUAAUACCGCGUACGACCCUCGGGGGGCAUCCCUGGGGGGUGAAAGCCGCAAGGCGCCGGUGGAGAAUCUCGCGGCCUAUCAGCUAGUUGGUGGGGUAAUGGCCUACCAAGGCGACGACGGGUAGCUGGUCCGAGAGGAUGACCAGCCACAUUGGGACUGAGACACGGCCCAGACUCCUACGGGAGGCAGCAGUGGGGAAUAUUGCGCAAUGGGCGAAAGCCUGACGCAGCGACGCCGCGUGUGGGAUGAAGGUCUUCGGAUCGUAAACCACUGUCGGGGGGGACGAACUCAAUGACGGUACCCCCAAAGGAAGCACCGGCUAACUCUGU
rnacentral:rRNA from 1 species